rnacentral:misc_RNA from 1 species
UCAAACUUGGUCAUUUAGAGGAAGUAAAAGUCGUAACAAGGUUUCCGUAGGUGAACCUGCGGAAGGAUCAUUACAAAGGAUUGUUGUUGAUCAUUGUUUAUGAGUGUAAAUCUCGUCAUUGCCGUGUGGCAAUGUUGUGGGAAUUCUCAUGGAUUACUCGUCGCAAUGAUGAAUAGCAAUCUCCUUUCUCUUUUCAUUUUGGAAGGGGUGGACGCCCACACGGGCUGUUCCAUCUCCCCGACUCCUGUGUUGUCGGCGCAAUACUUUCUCCACGAAUGAUGUGUGCCGCAUCCCCGCGGGGAACGGAGCAGGUCUUGGAGAAGGGUUGUAAAGCUUGUGUGUGCAUUGUUGUUGGUCGUGGCCACACAGCACAGCACACACAGAGGACUUGUCAAUUUGAAAAGUAACCAUACACAACUGUUAACAACGGAUCACUCGGUUCUCGCAUCGAUGAAGAACACAGC